rnacentral:rRNA from 1 species
UACCUACGGGAGGCAGCAGUGGGGAAUAUUGCACAAUGGGGGAAACCCUGAUGCAGCGACGCCGCGUGAGUGAAGAAGUAAUUCGUUACGUAAAGCUCUAUCAGCAGGGAAGAGAGUGACGGUACCUGAGUAAGAAGCCCCGGCUAACUACGUGCCAGCAGCCGCGGUAAUACGUAGGGGGCAAGCGUUAUCCGGAUUUACUGGGUGUAAAGGGAGCGUAGACGGCGAAGAAAGUCUGGAGUGAAAGCCCGCGGCUUAA